GUCUGGGAUACCACUUGGAAACAGGUGCUAAUACCGGAUAAGAAAGCGGAUCGCAUGAUCAGCUUUUAAAAGGCGGCGUAAGCUGUCGCUAUGGGAUGGCCCCGCGGUGCAUUAGCUAGUUGGUAAGGUAAAGGCUUACCAAGGCGAUGAUGCAUAGCCGAGUUGAGAGACUGAUCGGCCACAUUGGGACUGAGACACGGCCCAAACUCCUACGGGAGGCAGCAGCC
rnacentral:rRNA from 1 species